ACUUCAUCUUGUCUUUGUUGAAAAUUUUCAUUUCAGCGUGUUAAGGUUUAUCGGCUGAAUGAUGAUGGUAAAUGGGAUGACCAAGGAACCGGGCAUGUUACUGUUGAUUAUUUACAGAGAUCGGAAGAGUUAGGUUUAUUUGUUAUUAGUGAAGAAGAUGAUGAAACAUUACUUGUGCACCGGAUAAGCUCAGAUGACAUCUACCGCAAACAAGAAGAUACAAUCAUUU